rnacentral:rRNA from 1 species
GGAUUAGAUACCCUGGUAGUCCACGCCCUAAACGAUGUGAACUAGGUCGGAGUAUCUCUGACGAUUUUCCGGCCGAAAUGAAAACGGUAAGUUCACCGCCUGGGGAGUACGGUCGCAAGGCUAAAACUCAAAGGAAUUGACGGGGGCUCACACAAGCGGUGGAGCAUGUUGCUUAAUUCGAUCAACGCGAAGAACCUUAUCCUGGGCUUGACAUACUUGGAUGACCAUCUGGAAACAGAGUAGUCUGCUCUUCGGAGUGAAACUUGUACAGGUGCUGCAUGGCUGUCGUCAGCUCGUGCUG